AUUUAAUUCUAGUGGCGGACGGGUGAGUAACGCGUGGGUAACCUGCCUUGUACAGGGGGAUAACAGUCAGAAAUGACUGCUAAUACCGCAUAAGCGCACAGGACCGCAUGGUCCGGUGUGAAAAACUCCGGUGGUAUAAGAUGGACCCGCGUUGGAUUAGCUAGUUGGCAGGGUAACGGCCUACCAAGGCGACGAUCCAUAGCCGGACUGAGAGGUUGAACGGCCACAUUGGGACUGAGACACGGCCCAGACUCCUACGGGAGGCAGCAGUGGGGGAUAUUGCACAAUGGGGGAAACCCUGAUGCAGCGACGCCGCGUGGAGGAAGAAGGUUUUCGGAUUGUAAACUCCUGUCGUUAGGGACGAUAAUGACGGUACCUAACAAGAAAGCACCGGCUAACUACGUGCCAGCAGCCGCGGUAAUACGUAGGGGGCAAGCGUUAUCCGGAUUUACUGGGUGUAAAGGGAGCGUAGACGGUGUGGCAAGUCUGAUGUGAAAGGCAUGGGCUCAACCUGUGGACUGCAUUGGAAACUGUCAUACUUGAGUGCCGGAGGGGUAAGCGGAAUUCCUAGUGUAGCGGUGAAAUGCGUAGAUAUUAGGAGGAACACCAGUGGCGAAGGCGGCUUACUGGACGGUAAC
rnacentral:rRNA from 1 species